rnacentral:rRNA from 1 species
AUAGAUACCAGGUAGUCCACGCCGUAAACGAUGAGUGCUAAGUGUUAGAGGGUUUCCGCCCGUUUAGUGCUGCAGCUAACGCAUUAAGCACUCCGCCUGGGGAGUACGGUCGCAAGACUGAAACUCAAAGGAAUUGACGGGGGCCCGCACAAGCGGUGGAGCAUGUGGUUUAAUUCGAAGCAACGCGAAGAACCUUACCAGGUCUUGACAUCCUCUGACAACUCUAGAGAUAGAGCGUUCCCCUUCGGGGGACAGAGUGACAGGUGGUGCAUGGUUGUCGUCAGCUCGUGUCGUGAGAUGUUGGGUUAAGUCCCGCAACGAGCGCAACCCUUGAUCUUAGUUGCCAGCAUUUAGUUGGGCACUCUAAGGUGACUGCCGGUGACAAACCGGAGGAAGGUGGGGAUGACGUCAAAUCAUCAUGCCCCUUAUGACCUGGGCUACACACGUGCUACAAUGGAUGGUACAAAGGGCUGCAAGACCGCGAGGUCAAGCCAAUCCCAUAAAACCAUUCUCAGUUCGGAUUGU